UACGUAGGGCGCAAGCGUUGUCCGGAAUUAUUGGGCGUAAAGAGCUCGUAGGCGGUUUGUCGCGUCUGCUGUGAAAACCUAAGGCUCAACCUUGGGCUUGCAGUGGGUACGGGCAGACUAGAGUGCGGUAGGGGGUGACUGGAAUUCCUGGUGUAGCGGUGGAAUGCGCAGAUAUCAGGAGGGAACACCCGAUGGCGAAAGGCAGGGUCCACUGGGGCC
rnacentral:rRNA from 1 species